CACUAGAUUGAGAGCUCCUGGA
rnacentral:miRNA from 3 species